CCGCUUGCUCUCCCUCUCUCGCGCCGCUACCAAGCACUGCCGCCUCCGCCUCCCCCUCACGCCGUCCCCGUCGCCUCGCGCCGCCGCCUCCACCCCCGCCGCCGCCUCCCCAUCGCGCUGCCACCUCCGCCUCCCGCCGUCCCCAUCGCCGGCCGAGCUGCCGCCGUCCGUCUCCCCUCCGCCCUCUCUUCCCCCACUCUCUCCUUCUCCCUUUCCCUCUCCCUCCGCCCGCCUCUGCUUCCGCAUCCCCCUCGCGUCGUCGCCAUCAUCGUCCCCGUCGCCCUGCGCCGCUGGCGCCAUUGCGUCGCCGUCUCCGACCGCCGUCACCGAGUGCAGCCGUCUCCGCCUCCGGCCUCCGUCAACGACGAGGUCGGAGCGCCGACGGCUGCAUCACAGGCGGCGCGAAAAGCUGAGGGCCCAAUCCUGGCGGCGGGACUGCCGCGAGGUUCCGGACGCAUCAACUCGAGGGGGAGACGGCGGAGGGAGUGGGGGUUGAGGCGGGCGCGGUCUUCGUCCUCCCGGCGCCAGAUCUGCUUCUCAUCUCCACAAGGACACCCCAGCCCACCACUCAUCAGCGUCGCCAUGGUCGUCGGCGUCGCCCUCACUGUCGCCGUCGCCAACAGACUGCGUUAAGAAGCCACUCCACCACCAGCAGCAGCAGGGGCAUCCACCGUACGCCGCACCAAUGCCUUCCCCUUCCCUCCCAUCUGUGCCCUCUGGGUCACAGGUAGUCGCUUCAUCGGCAGCCGCGUUGCCGUCAAUGUACAAGGCCAAUGACCAGCAGCGAGCAACUCAUGGCACCAGAGACGGCGGUGGCGACGGUGACUACUAAACUCUUGGCACAGGAGCUUACAAAGGAUGUGCAGGUGAACUCUAGAAGAAAGUUCGAAAAAUGGGACAUUGCAAUCACAACAUUGGAACCUAAUAUCAACACUAUGCUCAUUGCCAUAGUGUCAAGUAAAGAAAGGGACUACAAUGCUUAUUCAAAGGAUUAUAUGUCUUCCAUAGUGAAGCAGUCUUGCACUAAUACUAGAAGCUGCUUUAGAGAUGGAGACAUCCCAUCAAAAAUCUGCAAUUACCCAAUGAUGUUGUGCCUGAGGAUCAUAUAAAUGACUCUGAUCAAUCCUCCACCUUAGCUGGUUGCUCUGCUUGCUGUGACCAUGCCACGACAUCCGAAAACACAGAGGACCAGGUUUGACACCUUUGGAUUGCAUACCAGAAUUUUCCAUGUUCUUCAGCUCUCAAUAAUUCAUCUUCAGAGGAGAAAGGGAAGUGAGGAAAAUUUGUAAGUGAAGAAUUUGACAGAUUGCGACGGGCACCAGUUAUGCUGGAGUCCAGGAGUUGGAGCCAUGCAAACAUGCAUCAUGCUAAUGUCGUCCUGAGCUUCCAGAUUAGGCCCUGCUGUAUUGAUCAAUAUAUUCAGCAUGAUGACAGCAUUAUUUCUAUACAUGGGGAUAUUGUGUAUCCGGAUAAGAAUAGCAUUAUUUGUAGGCUGGAGGCUAUAGAAAAAUAUUUCAGCCUUGAAACAGUCAAGGACAUUGUGGAAGCCAUGGAAAGUGAAGCAUCUAAGUUAGAUGAGGAUUGUUGUACCUUGGCCAUGAAAUGAUUGAGAGAGCCCUAUCCAGUUCUGUUGAGAGCCUCACAGUGUUUGAUGAAUUGCAAGCUACAAAUGCUUUGCUGUAGAUAUGAAUUGCAAGCUUACAGAAAAGGUUGUGCACUGUGGGCUAAAAAGUCCCAUUAACCAGGAAGAUAUGCUACAAUUUUGGCUCCACUUACACUAGGAGUAUAUGGCUACAAAACUGCAGCUGUGAGAAGAUAGAAUGGCAUUACUUCAAGGGAUGUGAUGCGAUGCUGAAUCUAAUAUUGGAAAGUCGAGCCCUUUGUUCUUCAAUUGUCCUAUUUGCAAAGAUUAUGACCUUUAAAUUUGUCAUCAAUUAUUUAUGACACCAAUGCAUUCUCUUGGUGUAUGCACCAAAGCAAUUUGUACGCGGAAUUACUUAUAUUUUUUAUAUAAUGAAAGCAUUGUGUUCAUGUUUGAACUAAAAGUGUAACAAACUGAGGUUUUAGUAGGGGAUGCUUUGCAUUGAUAAUAAAGUGCCCAUUACUUUGUAGUUACAUGGGAUAUUUGUUACAUAGG
rnacentral:lncRNA from 1 species